UACGAAGGGGGCUAGCGUUGCUCGGAAUCACUGGGCGUAAAGCGCACGUAGGCGGAUUGCUAAGUCAGGGGUGAAAUCCUGGAGCUCAACUCCAGAACUGCCCUUGAUACUGGCGGUCUCGAGUCCGGGAGAGGUGAGUGGAACUGCGAGUGUAGAGGUGAAAUUCGUAGAUAUUCGCAAAGAACACCAGUGGCGAAGGCGGCUCACUGGCCCGAUACUGACGCUGAGGCACGGAAAGCGUGGGGAGCCAAACAGGGU
rnacentral:rRNA from 1 species